rnacentral:lncRNA from 1 species
ACCAGGACUGGCUUUUCUCCCAGAGAAGUAAGGCUUUCCCAGCACAGCCACCCAUCGCAGACAAGGAGAUCUGUGACUGCAUGAGAGACUAAGUUUCUUUAAAACUAUUCUGAAGUACAGGAAAAAAAUAAUAAUCUGUUUAUCUGCCUGUAUAACUGAAAAAUUCGAAUGUUCCACAGCGUAGUUGUUUAACUACUGCAGGACACAUUUGCCUACAGAGAUAAGUUUCGCAACUGUGAAAAUCUGGUGUUACAGAAACUGUAAAGCUAUGGGAAUUGUCUAGAAAGUGAAAGGAGCCUUGCAAAUCACUGGAGAGAUCCUCAUCUUGGAAAAUAUAGUCAGAUUCUGUUAAAAACAACCCUUGGAGAGGCGGCAUUGCCCCAGUCCCAACAGCUGACUGGCACAUACAUCAUACUCAGUGCAUGGGGAAACUGACUAUCAUCAACUCUGCAUGAAGCUUCCACAAACACACAGCACGGCUGCAGAAGGAACUACUGUGUGCAGAACAUUCAGGUAAUCUCUAAUUACUGCCAGCCCUCGGUGCAGUAUUCUCUCAUUUAUAAAUGAAAUACUACACAGCAUAUCAGGACCUCCUGUCCUCUAGCAGUCCCCAGGCUCUCUGGAUUAUGAAUCACUGCCAUUGAAACUGUCACUCUGAUUACCUCAUGACUUAGGAUAAUUCUGGGGAGCUUUACUCAGAGAUACUUUCUCAGCUCACAAUGUGACCACAGAGCAACCAGAAGCCUGGCUGUGCCCAUAGCAUCUCUCUUGGGGUUGCUGCUUCUACAUAUUAAGUUACAUUUUUAUGAAAAGAAAAAAAGAAAAAGAAUGUAGGAAUGGAA